AGAUUGAACGCUGGCGGCAGGCUUAACACAUGCAAGUCGAGCGGUAACAGAGAUAGCNUGCUAUCUGCUGACGAGCGGCGGACGGGUGAGUAAUGCUUGGGAAUAUGCCUUAUGGUGGGGGACAACAGUUGGAAACGACUGCUAAUACCGCAUAACGUCUACGGACCAAAGGGGGGGAUCUUCGGACCUCUCGCCAUUUGAUUAGCCCAAGUGAGAUUAGCUAGUUGGUGAGGUAAUGGCUCACCAAGGCGACGAUCUCUAGCUGGUUUGAGAGGAUGAUCAGCCACACUGGGACUGAGAUACGGCCCAGACUCCUACGGGAGGCAGCAGUGGGGAAUAUUGCACAAUGGGCGAAAGCCUGAUGCAGCCAUGCCGCGUGUGUGAAGAAGGCCUUCGGGUUGUAAAGCACUUUCAGUUGUGAGGAAAGGGGUGUAGUUAAUAGCUGCAUUCUGUGACGUUAACAACAGAAGAAGCACCGGCUAACUUCGUGCCAGCAGUUGCGGUAAUACGAGGGGUGCAAGCGUUAAUCGGAAUUACUGGGCGUAAAGCGUUCGUAGGCGGUCUAUUAAGCAAGAUGUGAAAGCCCAGGGCUUAACCUUGGAACUGCAUUUUGAACUGGUAGACUAGAGUACUGUAGAGGGUGGUGGAAUUUCCAGUGUAGCGGUGAAAUGCGUAGAGAUUGGAAGGAACAUCAGUGGCGAAGGUGGCCACCUGGACAGAUACUGACGCUGAGGAACGAAAGCGUGGGGAGCGAACAGGAUUAGAUACCCUGGUAGUCCACGCCGUAAACGAUGUCAACUAGCCGUUUGUGGACUUGAUCCGUGAGUGGCGCAGUUAAUGUACUAAGUUGACCGCCUGGGGAGUACGGCCGCAAGGUUA
rnacentral:rRNA from 1 species